GCCGCUCCACCUAGUAUGGUAUUUACGACACUCGACUAGUAAUCGAGUGGGCUCGGGUUCGAAUCCCGAAUAAGGCA
rnacentral:tRNA from 1 species